AGUGCUGACGUCGAUCACGUCACAAAGUCGUGCGACCGCUGUCAGAGUGAGCUCCCCUCCCAACAGCGGGAGACGCUGAUCCAGCACGAGCUUCCAGGACGACCCUUUCAGCAUCUGACUGUCGACAUUGGAAGUCACGCUGGAGGUGCAGACUGGACGAGGACGCCUGGACGAGAGGGAUCCUCCAACACUGGAACACGCCCGGUAGCUGCGGAGUGUCGCCAGCUCAGCUCGUGUACGGACGACCGAUCAGAGACACUCUCCCAUCACACCCUGAUCUCUACAAACGGCAGCCCCCUGAGGAGUUCGCUGACCGACGGGAGGAGUGCCGUCGUAAAACUAAGGAGCGCUACGACAGCCGAGCACGGGAUCUCCCCGAGUUCCCAGUCGGAACCCAUGUACGGGUGCAAGACGUCCGCACCCGCCGGUGGGAGAGGUGCGGCACAGUGACUGACGUCCUACCGUUCCGGAGGUAUCGUGUGCGGUUUGACGAUGGCGGCAGUGUAGACCGCAACCGGUGCCACCUUCGCCGGAGGUAUGCUGUUGUUGAACCGUGUCUAGCGGAGAGGAGCGGUGCAUCGGACAACUCAGGUCCGACCGGGCAGCGUCGCGCCGAGUUGCCCAGCGGAGGCCGACAGCCGCUUCAGGGGACGUCCCGUCUCGCCGAGGAGCCGCCGCUCCGACGGUCGACGCGGACGAGGAGACGGCCGAGGCGUCUGAUAGAGGAGAUGUAAUGAUAGGCUUGCGUGUGCGCAGCGUGAUGUUUCUUUUCACUUGUCAAGUUAUUUUGUUGUUAUUUUGUUGUCAAGUUGUUUUCGUUGUUACGUUAUGCUGGUACUUAUGGCUGUAAUAUGAGCUCAGGUGGGACCCCUGAGGGGAGGGGAGAUGUGCUGGUGUUCCCGCCUCCGUUGUGCGUGGUGUGCCGGUGUGUGCCCGAGUUGAGUCCCUGGAGACGCCACUGCCGUGCCCUGCCCUCCGGCGGUCGGCCGGCCGGCUGGGUUCCUGGUCCCUUGGUGGUCAGUUGGAGCGGAGCACCAAUACACGCCGGAACGUUA